rnacentral:rRNA from 1 species
UCGCCUACUGAACACAUAGUAGGUCCAUCCUGCCCAGUGGUAAUCACUCAACGGCCGCGGUACUCUGACCGUGCAAAGGUAGCAUAAUCACUUGCCCUUUAAUUGUGGGCUAGUAUGAACGGACACACGAAAACACACUGUCUCUAGGAAGCCCAUAGAAACUAUAAUUCAAGUGAAGAUACUUGAACCCCACUACAAGACAAGAAGACCCUACAGAGCUUUAUUAACAAGCUACCACACAUACAUUAAUCGGCCUUAAUUUGGUUGGGAUGACCAAAGACCACACAAAGCGUCUUCAAGCCCCCCUGGACCACAAUCAAUAGAACCAUCAUUGAAUAAGAAGCAGCUACCUUAGGGAUAACAGGCUAAUUCCACUAGAGAGAUCACAUUGACAGUGGAGGUUGGCACCUCGAUGUUGGCUUAGUGAAUCCCCCAGGUGCAGCAGCCUGGAUGAGUCGGUUUGUUCAACCGUUAAAACACUA